UACAGAGGUCCCAAGCGUUUUUCGGAUUCACUGGGCGUAAAGGGUGCGUAGGCGGUCGGGUAAGUCUGAUGUGAAAUCUCACAGCUUAACUGUGAAACUGCAUUGGAUACUAUCCGGCUCGAGGAAUGGAGGGGAGACUGGAAUACUUGGUGUAGCAGUGAAAUGCGUAGAUAUCAAGUGGAACACCAGUGGCGAAGGCGAGUCUCUGGACAUUUCCUGACGCUGAGGCACGAAAGCCAGGGGAGCAAACGGG
rnacentral:rRNA from 1 species